rnacentral:rRNA from 1 species
CCUACGGGAGGCAGCAGUGAGGAAUAUUGGUCAAUGGACGCAAGUCUGAACCAGCCAUGCCGCGUGCAGGAAGACGGCUCUAUGAGUUGUAAACUGCUUUUGUACGAGGGUAAACGCAGAUACGCGUCUCUGUCUGAAAGUAUCGUACGAAUAAGGAUCGGCUAACUCCGUGCCAGCAGCCGCGGUAAUACGGAGGAUUCAAGCGUUAUCCGGAUUUAGUGGGUUUAAAGGGUGCGUAGGCGGGUGGAUAAGUUAGAGGUGAAAUCCUGAGGCUCAACUUCGCAAUUGCCUUUGAUACUGUGCGGCUAGAGAGUAGUUGCGGUAGGCGGAAUGUAUGGUGUAGCGGUGAAAUGCUUAGAGAUCAUACAGAACACCGAUUGCGAAGGCAGCUUACCAAGCUACGUCUGACGUUGAGGCACGAAAGCGUGGGGAGCAAACAGGAUUAGAUACCCGAGUAGUC